AUGUUCCUUAGACCAACCCAAUGUUCCUUAGACCAACCCAAGGUUCCUUGGACCAACCUGAGGUUCCUUGGAUCAACCCAACCUUCCUUGGACCAACCAAAGGUUCUUUGGACCAACCUGAGGUUCCUUGGACCAACCCAACCUUCCUUGGACCAACCCAACCUUCCUUGGACCACCCCAACCUUUCUUGGACCAACUCAAGUUUCCUCAGACCUUCUGGAGAAGGUGGCACUGUUUGGUCCAGGUCAACUUGUAGCCAUCUUGGGGCUCUCCAGUUCAGCAAGACUUGGUCUUCGUCAACCAGACCUUCCAUGGACCAACUCAACCCUCCUUGGACCUUCUUUGGACCAACCCAAGGUUCUUUGGACCAACCCAAGGUUCUUUGGACCAACCCAAGGUUCUUUGGACCAACCCAACGUUCCUUGGACCAACCCAACGUUCCUUGGACCAACCCAAGGUUCCUUAAACCAACCUGAGGUUCCUUGGACCAACCUGAGGUUCCUCAGACCUUCUGGAGAAGGUGGCACUGUUUGGUCCAGGUCAACUUGGAGCCAUCUUGGGGCUCUCCAGUUCAGCAAGACUUGGUCCAGGUCAACCAGACCUUCCAUGGACCAACUCAACCCUCCUUGGACCUUCUUUGGACCAACCAAAGGUUCUUUGGACCAACCCAAGGUUCUUUGGACCAACCCAAGGUUCUUUGGACCAACCCAACGUUCCUUGGACCAACCCAACGUUCCUUGGACCAACACAAUGUUCCUUGGACCAACCCAACCUUUCUUGGACCACCCCAACCUUUCUUGGACCAACUCAAGGUUCCUCAGACCUUCUGGAGAAGGUGGCACUGUUUGGUCCAGGUCAACUUGGAGCCAUCUUGGGGCUCUCCAGUUCAGCAAGACUUGGUCUUUGUCAACCAGGCUUUCCAUGGACCAACUCAACCCUCCUUGGACCUUCUUUGGACCAACCCAAGGUUCCUUGGACCAACCCAAGGUUCUUUGGACCAACCCAAGGUUCUUUGGACCAACCCAACCUUCCUUGGACCAACCCAACCUUCUCUUGGACCACCCCAACCUUUCUUGGACCAACUCAAGGUUCCUCAGACCUUCUGGAGAAGGUGGCACUGUUUGGUCCAGGUCAACUUGGAGCCAUCUUGGGGCUCUCCAGUUCAGCAAGACUUGGUCUUUGUCAACCAGACCUUCCAUGGACCAACUCAACCCUCCUUGGACCUUCUUUGGACCAACCCAAGGUUCUUUGGACCAACCCAAGGUUCUUUGGACCAACUCAACAUUCCUUGGUCCAACCUAA
rnacentral:lncRNA from 1 species